UACGUAGGGUGCGAGCGUUGUCCGGAAUUAUUGGGCGUAAAGAGCUCGUAGGCGGUGUGUCACGUCGGCCGUGAAAACCUGCAGCUUAACUGUGGGCGUGCGGUCGAUACGGGCAUCACUGGAGUUCGGCAGGGGAGACUGGAAUUCCUGGUGUAGCGGUGAAAUGCGCAGAUAUCAGGAGGAACACCGGUGGCGAAGGCGGCAUCCUGGACCGGUAUUGACGCUGAGGCGCGAAAGCCAGGGGAGCAAACGGG
rnacentral:rRNA from 1 species